CACGGGGGGAGCAAGCGUUGUUCGGAUUCAUUGGGCGUAAAGGGUGCGUAGGUGGCGCCAUAAGUCGGGUGUGAAAUCUCGGGGCUUAACUCCGAAACUGCAUUCGAUACUGUGGUGCUUGAGGACUGGAGAGGAGACUGGAAUUCAUGGUGUAGCAGUGAAAUGCGUAGAGAUCAUGAGGAAGACCAGUGGCGAAGGCGGGUCUCUGGACAGUUCCUGACACUGAGGCACGAAGGCCAGGGGAGCAAACGGG
rnacentral:rRNA from 1 species